CCUGGCUCAGGAUGAACGCUAGCGACAGGCCUAACACAUGCAAGUCAGGGGCAGCACGAGUAAGCUUGCUUACUUGGUGGCGACCGGCGCACGGGUGCGUAACAGGUGUGCAAUCUGUCCAUAAUCGGGAAUAGCCCAGCGAAAGUUGGAUUAAUGCUCCAUGUGAGUUUUAGAGGCAUCUCUUUAACUUGAAACGCAAGGAUUAUGGGUGAGCACGCUUCUGAUUAGGUAGUUGGUGAGGUAACGGCUCACCAAGCCGACGAUCAGUAGGGGUUCUGAGAGGAAGGUCCCCCACAUUGGAACUGAGACACGGUCCAAACUCCUACGGGAGGCAGCAGUGAGGAAUAUUGGUCAAUGGGCGAAAGCCUGAACCAGCCAAGUCGCGUGAAGGAUGAAGGUUCUAUGGAUUGUAAACUUCUUUUGUCUGAGGGUAAAAAGCGGACGUGUCCGUUCUUGCAAGUAUCAGACGAAUAAGCAUCGGCUAACUCCGUG
rnacentral:rRNA from 1 species